UCCUAUUUCUGUGAAAAAUAGAUUUACAGG
rnacentral:piRNA from 1 species